rnacentral:rRNA from 1 species
AGAACGAACGCUGGCGGCAUGCCUAAUACAUGCAAGUCGAACGAACACUUCGGUGUUAGUGGCGCACGGGUGCGUAACGCGUGGGAAUCUGCCCUUGGGUUCGGAAUAACAGUUGGAAACGACUGCUAAUACCGGAUGAUAUCGAAAGAUCAAAGAUUUAUCGCCCAGGGAUGAGCCCGCGUAGGAUUAGCUAGUUGGUGAGGUAAAGGCUCACCAAGGCGACGAUCCUUAGCUGGUCUGAGAGGAUGAUCAGCCACACUGGGACUGAGACACGGCCCAGACUCCUACGGGAGCAGCAGUAGGGAAUAUUGGACAAUGGGCGCAAGCCUGAUCCAGCAAAUAGCGCGUGAGUGAUGAAGGA